AUGCCUUCCGGAGAGGUGCUGCUCACAGUCAGUUUUGCAGGUUUGCAUCCCAGCUUGCUAAAAUUGCUGUGCAAAUCCAUGCAAAACUGACUGUGGUGGUGGUGAAUAGCGGGGUUAGAA
rnacentral:pre_miRNA from 7 species